rnacentral:lncRNA from 1 species
CGCGGGUACCGCGCGCUGCUGCCUCACGGAGCUCCGGGAGCGCUCAGCGAUGUCAGAGCCGUUGUUCAGGCUGGCAGCGGUUGAAAACGUAUUGCUGUAUUUGCCCGUUUUCCCUAGUAAGAAGCCACCCUUGACCCAUCACCUGGCGGGGGAGCUCUGUGCCUAACUUCAAACCGCCAACGUUCGGCCGCUGCCCCUGUCACGCCGGGACCGUCUGUGUGCGUGCACCACCGUGCGGCACGUGGGCGCAUCGACGGGAACCUGCCGGAGGGGCGGGGUGCCGGGCAGUCCUGCCGGUUCCACCCGGUUCUGCCUUCCUUGUCGCAAAGACUUCGGGAGAUGGAACUCUUCCCUUUUUCGUCUCCUCCAACGAUCUGCACAGCUGAAAGGCCCAACUUUGGUUAGCAGGCACCCGCGUGGAUAUGUUCCUUUUGUACACACGUUGGAAGGCAAUGCUUUAUUACUGGUGGUGUCAGUAGCUCCAAGGAAGAUGGCGGUAUUCCAGCCUUUAUAAGAUAAGGAUCAGACCUCACUUAACAAACCGCUUCCUGAAACUGGCAAAUUCUCCCUUGUGUGUCCUGUUUUUUGUGUUUUUGUGUAUGCGUGAUGGAAACAAGAAGAAAAGGAAAGGAACAGUUUGUAGAAGAUUAUGGAAAGAAAGAAAAAAAAAAUCCUGGCUUGCUGGGUAGUACUGACUGCAUUGCUUGAGAAUCUUCACUGGAAAACUGAAAAUCCGUACUGAGUCAUCUCCAUACUGAUGCUGAUCCAUAUGAGCUGCUCUGUCAUCCGUGACUGCAGGUGUCAGCGUGUUCUGCUCUGUUUCUGAACAGUUCUGAUUCAGAUCUUACCCUGAGGAUUUUGGCAACCUGGAGUCACACUCGUUCAUGUCACAGACUCUAGUAGAAGGGUGUGGAUGUACAAUUGGGAGGCAUUUAGGCCACCAUGUCCAAAAUCAAUCCUAAAGCAGUCUUAGAUCCAGAGGUAUGACUGCAGGCCUUUGUAUUGAUGCAGCCUGCACUGGAGUGACUGUUAGUUGUUAGUGCAGUGGCACAGAGAUGAAAAAACUUUACAAAGCAUCAUGGAUGG